GCUCAUAUUGCAGAACUUGUAAAAUAGUUGUGUGUGUGAAAUGUGUAAUGAAAGUGCAUAACGGACAUGGGUUUGUGGAUGAUGAGGAAUUUCUAAGUAAAAAGGAAAAAUUAUGGGAAGGACAAAAUAGAGUGAAGAAGAAAUUAGAUGAACUGUGUAAGGUAGAAUCCAAAAUGAAAGAGAUCAAAGAAAUAGAGGAAUCAGCGUAUAGUAAAG
rnacentral:lncRNA from 1 species